GAUGAACGCUGGCGGCGUGCCUAAUACAUGCAAGUCGAGCGAAGCGGGGACGGGUGAGUAACACGUGGAUAACCUCCUAUAAGACUGGGAUAACUUCGGGAAACCGUAGCUAAACCGGCUACUUAUAGCCUGAUCCGCCCUGUAUUAGCUAGUUGGUAAGGUAACGGCAUACCAAGGCAACGACGCGUAGCCGACCUGAGAGGGGGAUAGGACACACUGGAACGUAGAAACGGUCCAGACUCCUACGGGAGGCAGCAGUAGGGAAUCUUCCGCAAUGGGCGAAAGCCUGACGGAGCAACGCCGCGUGAGUGAUGAAGGUCUUCGGAUCGUAAAACUCUGUUAUUAGGGAAGCGGUACCUAAUCAGAAAGCGAGGGAUAACUACGUGCCAGCAGCCGCGGUAAUAC
rnacentral:rRNA from 1 species